UACGAAGGGGGGCUAGCGUUGCUCGGAAUCAUUGGGCGUAAAGGGUGUGUAGGUGGCGCGCUAAGUCGGGUGUGAAAUUUCGGAGCUUAACUCCGAAACUGCAUUCGAUACUGGCGUGCUUGAGGACUGGAGAGGAGACUGGAAUUUACGGUGUAGCAGUGAAAUGCGUAGAUAUCGUAAGGAAGACCAGUGGCGAAGGCGGGUCUCUGGACAGUUCCUGACACUGAGACACGAAGGCCAGGGGAGCAAACGGG
rnacentral:rRNA from 1 species